CUUCCUACGGGAGGCAGCAGUGGGGAAUAUUGCACAAUGGGGGAAACCCUGAUGCAGCGACGCCGCGUGAGCGCUGAAGUAUUUCGGUAUGUAAAGCUCUAUCAGCAGGGAAGAAAAUGACGGUACCUGACUAAGAAGCCCCGGCUAACUACGUGCCAGCAGCCGCGGUAAUACGUAGGGGGCAAGCGUUAUCCGGAUUUACUGGGUGUAAAGGGAGCGUAGACGGCGAUGCAAGCCAGAUGUGAAAGCCUGGGGCUCAACCCCGGGACUGCAUUUGGAACUGUAUA
rnacentral:rRNA from 1 species